CAUCACUCUGAAUGCAAACAUCUCAGGAUAUCUGGUCUGCUCUGUCAGGAAUCACGUCAGUGGUGUCUGUGGCUUCAUAUUCAAUCACUGCACGUCAUCCAAUGGAACACAAAUAUCAAAGAUGGAGCUUGUAUCCAGUGACACUGUGUGUAUUACACCAACAACAACUCCCACCACGUCCACAGUGGGUAAGGAGACUGGCAUAGUGUCAAUUAAACCCUCCACUAAUAUCACAUCCUCCAAUCAAACUGUGACUCCUGGCAGAGAUGAGCCAUGGUACAAUCAGUCACUGCUCGU